AUGCCGGCACUAGUCCAGUCUCCUUUUAGUGUUCGUGAGUGUUACACGCGUUUAUGGUAAGUUCAUUUCGUGAUUUCGGCUGUUAUCAUUGUGUGUUCAUCUACGUGCCUGUGAGAAAACCCCGUCUGAGCUGAUAUAUCAACCUGAAGUUCUUGGUGAAUUCUGUGCCAAAUCUUUACUCGAGGAUCAUCUUGUGGCUACCAACAGCGGCGUCCGUUUUGUCCAUGUCCUACCGACCGCAGUGCUUGCGGGAAAGAAAGGAUUUGGAGUAUAAGACACCCACUGCGGUGGAAACACACGCGAGAAUCGCCCGCCACGGCAUCAACCAAGGGACAUCUUCCAACCUGGUGGAGAGCAGCUGCGUUUCGACGGGAUACGACACCUUUAUAAUUUGUCACAUAUCUUGAAAUCACUUCUUGCGCCCACACUUUAUUUUUCAAACCAGUUCGAAUAAUGCGCACAGGGAAAAACACACAAAAAACUUCCCGAAUUUUACACCACAAACGCAUUCUUUUAAUUCACUUAUAAUUAGAAUUGUAUAUAUUUAGAGACCUUUGAAAUUUAAUUUGAUGAAUGCUAGUGGAAUAACAUGCAGUGUAAACUCUUUAUAACGAUGCUUUCUAAGAUUUGUUGAUUCAAGGACGGAUCAUACUCGUCCUGUUUAUUUGCCAUAAAACAAACCUUGUACAGAUUUCUACGUCAUUAUAAAAAAGGUUAUCAAGAGUUUACAUUGUAUUGCACAUUUAAGCGCCUCACGACUUACUGUAUCGUCUUAUUGCUUGUUGUUGCACUAGCGGGAGGAGUUUGCGAUUUAUUUGUUGGUAGUAAUGCGGAUAAGGGUACUUGGUAGUUGCUGCACUGUUGUCUAGCUUUAACUCGCGAAGGAGGCGCGUAUAAUGUUUGUAUUUUUUCGGGUUUGUGCGCGAUCUAGGCGGCUCACUAACUUCAGCGCGGCGUCUAGAGAUGCGGAAUUAAAUUCUCCAUCGGGCUGUAUUUGUUUGCUGCAGGAAUUCGAUCUGCAACCCGCGAAAAUAUGCACAAAAGCAUGACUUUUGUCAUUCUUUCUCGUGAAAUGUUAGUAUUUUUUCGUGUUUGCACGCGAUCUUAGCGACUCCGUAAUUUCAGCGUGACGUCUAGAGAUGCGGAAUUAAAUUCUCCGUCGGGUGGUAUUUGUUUGUUGCAGGAAUUCGACCUGCAACCCGCGAAAAUUUGCAAAAAAAGGGUGAUUUUCUCACCCUUUAUCGUGAAAUGUUUGUUUUUUCGUGUUUGCGCGCGAUCUUAGCGACUCCGUAAUUUCAGCGUGACGUCUAGAGAUGCGGAAUUAAAUUCUCCGUCGGGUGGUAUUUGUUUGUUGCAGGAAUUCGACCUGCAACCCGCGAAAAUUUGCAUAAAAAGGGUGAUUUUCUCACCCUUUAUCGUGAAAUGUUUUGUAUUUUUCGUGUUUGCACGCGAUCAUAGCGACACCGUAAUUUCAGCGUGACGUCUAGAGAUGCGGAAUUAAAUUCUCCGUCGGGUGGUAUUUGUUUGUUGCAGGAAUUCGACCUGCAACCCGCGAAAAUUUGCAUAAAAAGGGUGAUUUUAUCACCCUUUAUCGUGAAAUGUUUGUAUUUUUUCGUGUUUGCGCGCGAUCUGAGGGGCUCACUAACCUCAGCGCGGCGUCUAGAGAUGCGGAAUUAAAUUCUCCGUCGGGUGGUAUUUGUUUGUUGCAGGAAUUCGACCUGCAACCCGCGAAAAUUUGCAUAAAAAGGGUGAUUUUCUCACCCUUUAUCGUGAAAUGUUUUGUAUUUUUUCGUGUUUGCACGCGAUCUUAGCGACUCCGUAAUUUCAGCGUGACGUAUAGAGAUGCGGAAUUAAAUUCUCCGUCGGGUGGUAUUUGUUUGUUGCAGGAAUUCUACCUGCAACUCGCGAAAAUUUGCAUAAAAAGGGUGAUUUUCUCACCCUUUAUCGUGAAAUGUUUGUAUUUUUUCGUGUUUGCGCGCGAUCUAGGCGGCUCACUAACCUCAGCGCGGUGUCUAGAGAUGCGGAAUUAAAUUCUCCGUCGGGUGGUAUUUGUUUGUUGCAGGAAUUCGACCUGCAACCCGCGAAAAUUUGCAUGAAAAGGGUGAUUUUCUCACCCUUUAUCGUGAAAUGUUUGUAUUUUUUCGUGUUUGCGCGCGAUCUAGGCGUUUUUUCGGUAUAGGUCGGUAUUACCGACUCGGUAAGGGGACAGCUUAGAAUCUUCAGCGCGAUUUAUUGAGGAGUCGAAUUAAUUCUCGUCACGUUUGUUAUUUUUUUAACUAAAGCUUCAGCUGCAGUGCACGCAAUGGUAGAUUGUGUAUGUACGUGUCAUCCUGUCUCCCACAUUUCCUUUCUUUUGUGUCCUUUGUGUUAUCCAUGUAGAAUUUGAGAUCUAGUUUAAAUGUGUAUAUGACUUCUGUUGUUUUUCCUAUGUACUAAUCUGUAAGCUACUUGUGUUGUCUAUGUAAAAUUUGUUUUGUAUUAUUUUGUUCUUGUAAGUUUGUGGGGCAGAUCCAUGGUGCUGUAGUUGUUUGUGUUUUAAUGUUUGCUUGUACCUUGUGUGUGUGUUGUACGUAAAUUAAUAAAUGUCUGUGGUGUAGUAUCUAGAAAUAGUAGUUUGUGUUUAAAUAUUGUUGUCCGCGUCUUGUAAAUGUAAACAUGUUAUUUGUUACCUGUGUGUAGUAGAUGUAUUGUCUUGCAGUUGCCUUGUGUUUGGGUGUGCGACAUGUGCUUGUGAUGUCAGUGUAGCACUAGUUGUAACUUGUUGGUAUAUCUAUUGUGUUAUCCUUGCAGGUAUAGGAACCAGUAUUGCAACGGCAAUACUUGUAACAUGUAUUGCUAUAGCAAUACUAGUAACACUGUGUUGCCUAUGCAACACAGGUAGUAUGGUAUUGCUAUGGCAGUACAAGUAACAUGUCUUGCUGCUGCAAUACAGUAUGUAUAGGUAUCAAUAAAGAAGUCUUUUAAUAUA